rnacentral:lncRNA from 1 species
GAGCCCAAUUAAAAAAACAUGAACCUGUCUGACCCUCAUAGGAAAAUCCAGAGCUGUCACCGUUCACGCCUUGAUUUGAGAAACCAGCACAAUUACCUUGGAGAUCAUUAAGAUUCUGGGGGAAUGAGUUUUCUGGUUUUGCCUGUGAUUUCCAUUUUCUCAUUACUGACAGAAGCCGCAUUUAUGGAUCUUUCUCUUUUAAACAGGAGCUUCUCAGACUAUUAACAAUUGGCUUCCCCCAAAGGUAUCAUGUCAAAGCUUAAAUGGGUUCAUCUCGGCUGGUUCCGUGAGAACUGUUUCCCUCCCCCUGCCCCUCCCCCUCCUACUUAAAACAGUUUUUUUUUUUUUUGCCUUUGGAGAGGGAUUCACAGCCAUGGGCAGGCAAUUAGAUUUCAAAGCUGGAGAACUCCGUUGCACUUUGCCAGGAACUGCUGAAGCAAGCAAGACAGCCCAUGGGCUUUGAAUGGCUGGCCCGGAAGCAGGCCCUCCCAAUGCAGCUCUCCCAGGAUGGGCUAGAAGAGUGUGUGUUUGUCUUUGUUCUGCAAAGGGAAAUCUAAUUUCAUCCCUGGAGCCCUAUCUGCGUGCACCAGCAGCUCUGCAAUAAUGAAGCAGUGUGGAUGGGCUUGAGCACGGUGGAUACUCAGAGCAAACCCCAGGGGAGAGGAGCAAAGGCCACAGUCUGUGUUGUAUAGCAACAAGAAAACAGAAUCGCAUCAGCCAUGCCUGAUUUUCAGGAAUGCGCUCCAGACCACGGGUCUGAUGCUUAGCUGUCUAUAGAAAUCAGCACAAAUAGGGAUGAGUUUAACAUAUGCUGUAUACUUAUUUCCCACACGUUGCAUAGGCUUCUGAUGUGGAUAUCAGCUACACUGUACAAAGGAAAACGAAUCGUGUCCAUUUUAGUAUGUGAUGUUGUACACCAUUCAAAUUUCUUAAAUCCUUUGUGAUUUCUGACUUUACACAAGCUGGGAGAAUAUCAUUAGUGUCAAAAAUCAGAAAAAUUUCUUUGGAAGGCUUUUGACU